CUAUCAUAAACUUUGGUCCAAAGUGUCUUUACCGCUGUCUGUUGGGUUUCUUAGCUUUUUAUAAACACAACUUCGCUGACUGCAGUUUUAUUUUUUCAUACAUAUUGUGCUUUGACUGCUGUUGUUAGGAAGCCUUCGAUAUUACACUUUAUCUCUCGCUAAGUUUUCCUCCUUUUGUGUUUUUAGGGGUCAAUGGUCGUGAUGUUUUGUGUGUUGAUGUUAAUAAUCCACAAGAGAAAGUUGUAAAAACUUGUAAAAACUGUAUCAGCGAUUCCUUCAUCGGAGCUGAAGGUUGAUCUUCAAAUCAUUUUGCUUCAUCACCGAUGUAGUUCCCAAGUUAAGCUGCUCUGAAGUUGAUAAAAAAAAAUGAGUGAGUCAACAACUGAGCUGACGCUGCGUCCCGUCCAUCAGUUCAGCGCAGAACAAAAUGAAUCUCAAGAGGAAAAUCUGCCAGAACGGGAGGAAACACCACCGAGGGCGACGAAAGAAACAGCUGAGAACCCAGCUGUGGUAAUUAAAACGACCCUGGAUAAACUUGGAAGAAAAAACCUAAAAUCGUUUAAAUUCCAACUCAAAAACAAGAAGAAAGGGAUUCCUGAGAGCAAACUGGAGGAUAAGGACACCAUGGACAUCGCUACGUUAGUGACCGCCCACUAUGGCUGCGAGGAGGCUUUACGGGUCACACGAGAUAUUCUCAAAAAAAUAAAUCAGCGUGAUCUUGCUUCUCAGCUUGAGAGCGACGUGGGAGCGAGGGAGAAUCGCACAAGUUCUGCAGAAAGUGAGGAGGACACAGACGAGUCAGAGUCACCGUCCACAACAAAACGUGGAAA